UUUCGCUCGAGAUUCUUCAUCUGAAGCAGUGGUGUCCUCAAUAAUAGGUACUUCGUCUUCCGAAUCGUCACUGCUUAUGUUAAAUAAUUUACUGGGAUUAGCUCGAGAAUUAGAGGAGGACUGCUCUCCCGUAGAUGUCAAAGCUUGCUUCUGAAAAUUUUCAUGGCCGUUGGUUUCAAUUGAUUCAUUUACUUUAAACAAAUCAUCCUUUGCAGCAUCUGUUUCGUCUGAAUCGGAUUCAUCCUCAACAUAUUGCAAACCAACGUCUUGCAAUGGAAGCUUGUCGACAUCAAUACUUGCUAAAGCAUCCACUUCCACUAAAGGUUCUAAAGGAACUGGAUUAUUCUUAUAACAUUUUAACAUAUGCUCACGAUGUUGACGAACCCCUUCAUCAACUGAUAAUAUGGUACUUAGGAUACUAGGGAAAUCUUUGACUCGAUUGACACCCUCUCUUUCUAUACGAGAUGCGAGUGCGUAUAAUUUACUAGUUAGCAAAUCAAAGCCAUUUGCAAAUGUAGCCUUUACGCGUAAUAAUCCACGACUAGAUUUAGAAACAUCAUUUUGGAAAUCUACCGGAUCUUGGAUUGAAAGCAAAUAAGGCUGGUUUGGCUUCAGCCAACCCAUCUUCUUUUUUGAAAAAUAAAAACCACCAUUGUGAACAGCGAUACCGACAGCAUCAUAAUAAAAUUGUUUUCCGUACAACUCCAAAAACUCUAGCAGCAAAACACCAAAAUUGUCUUCUUCACGCAUAGAA